GGGGGCGAAACGGUUUCGACGGGGAUGUCGAUGCUCCCGGGUUGCGUGCCGAGGCCCUGCACCUCGUAAAAAGCGGGAACCAAUAGUCGCCAACGACUAUCCGUUAGCUCAGGCGGCUUAAGCCGCCUGCCUCCGACCGCCGAAUGCCCGUAUAGGCGCAAGGAGGUCACUUUCACGGGAUAGCCCGAAGCCUCCUCCCGGGGGGCCGAAGGGCGAAAAUUCUCCCGGGAUGGUCCGAAGGGAACCCUGCCGGCCGGGGUCCCCGAGGACGAGAUCCAAACGACCGGAAACGCACGUAGCAGCCCGGAGUAAAGAGUCUUCGGACGGGGGUUCAACUCCCCCCGCCUCCACCA
rnacentral:tmRNA from 1 species